GUUAGAACGAUGCAAAAAAAGGUUUCCGGUAAGUAAUCAACGAUAUUUACGAGUUAAGUCGGGAGACGUUCAAUUCUACUUAGAGUGAAACAUUGAAAGCUAUGGUUGAAAAUAUUAUACUUAAAACUAUACGUGAAAUGCCAUCGGUGCGUAUCUGUGAAUAAUCCUCAUAAAAAUCCAAGCUACAAGAAAACGCUAUUAGCCAUGCUUGUUGAACGCAAUCGCAUUUUGUAACGUUAAAUAAAUUUACAUAUGCCCGAGA